GGAAGUAAAAGUCGUAACAAGGUUUCCGUAGGUGGAACCUGCGGAAGGAUCAUCA
rnacentral:rRNA from 1 species